rnacentral:lncRNA from 1 species
UCUCAAAGCUGCGGAGAAUAUAUUUUUUAUGAUUAUUAGUAUUUAAAUCAGACUAUUCUUUUUUAGAAAUAUGUUGUUCUUUUUCAUUAUUUUCGUGUAUGAUUUUAUUGAGUUUUAAUUGAGAUUGUUUAUGUGGGCCUUCCAUUAAGCAUUAGUUGUGAUUGUAAUGUCUAGAAAUGUCUUGAUAUAUCUAAGGAUGACGGUUGGUUGAGCUGGCGAAAAGAAAAAGUAAACCAUGUGUCACAUUUUGAUGACUGAAGAAGAACCCAAGUAGUUAA